UCUGCAACUCGACUGCACGAAGCUGGAAUCGCUAGUAAUCGCGGAUCAGCACGCCGCGGUGAAUACGUUCCCGGGCCUUGUACACACCGCCCGUCACACCAUGGAAGUCUGCAAUGCCCGAAGCCGGUGGCCUAACCACUUAUUGUGGAAGGAGCCGUCUAAGGCAGGGCAGAUGACUGGGGUGAAGUCGUAACAAGGUAAC
rnacentral:rRNA from 1 species